rnacentral:lncRNA from 1 species
AAAACCAACGUUGACCCGGAAAAAUAUAUAAUUAUCAGAAAUAGCUUUAAAAUUGAAAUUAUUGGUAUCCAAAUUAUAUAAUCUGUUUCGUUAUCCAAAGUUCUCGUUAUGUAUUUUAUUUGAAAUAGUUUGGAUACUGUUUUUAUUUUUAUUUUUUUAAAUGAAUUUUUUCCAGAGCUCUUUAUGUUAUUUCAUGUCCUUGUAUUUAGAACAAAUAGGACUAUAGAAAUUUCAUCUAAUACAUUUUUAAAAAACUUUAUUCUACUUCAA